GGCAUCUGUGCCAGAUACCCGUUGGUUUUCGGACAGUUCGUGAUUGACAGCGAACCGUUCGGCGCUAUCGGGUGCCUGGCUAGGAUGGCCA
rfam:Pristionchus pacificus strain PS312 contig11605, whole genome shotgun sequence.